CCGCCGUGUCAGAUCUACUGGAACUGGCUCGUCCAGCAGAUACCGACAUGGAUCGCA
ensembl:miRNA